rnacentral:rRNA from 1 species
UACAGAGGUGGCAAGCGUUGUUCGGAAUUACUGGGCGUAAAGGGCGCGUAGGCGGUGCUCUAAGCUCCCGUGUGAAAUCCCCCGGCUCAACUGGGGAAUGGCACGGGAAACUGGAGUGCUUGAGUUCGGGAGAGGGAAGCGGAAUUCCGGGUGUAGCGGUGAAAUGCGUAGAUAUCCGGAGGAACACCGGUGGCGAAGGCGGCUUCCUGGACCGACA